rnacentral:lncRNA from 1 species
UGUACAUUAGUUCCUUAUCAGAUACAAGGUUUGUAAAUAUUUUUUCCUAUUCCAUAGGUUGCCUUUCAAUCUGUUGAUUCUUUCCUUUGCUGUGCAGUUUGUUUUGUUUUUGAAUGGGUACCAGUUUCCAACUCACGGCUUAGCUCAUGCUAGGCAAAUGCUCAUCACGGAGCUACACCCCCAGACCUUUUAAAAAAAAUUGUUUUGAGAUAAAAUCUGGCUAAAUUGCCCAGACUGGCCUCAAGCUUAUGAUCCUCCUGCCUUAGCUUCCAGAGUUGCUGGGAUUACAGGUAUGCAACACCAUGCCCAGCUCUGCUGUUCAGUUAUUAAGUCUGAUGUGGUCCUGUUUGUCCAUUCUUGCUUUUGGUACCAUAUCCAGAAAUAUUGCCACAUUUCAAUACCGUGAAACUUUC